CUGGGAAUGGCGUUGGAUACUGUCUGACUAGAGUAUGGGAGAGGGGAGUGGAAUUCCAGGUGUAGCGGUGAAAUGCGUAGAUAUCUGGAGGAACACCGAUGGCGAAGGCGACUUCCUGGCCCAAUACUGACGCUGAGGCGCGAAAGCGUGGGGAGCAAACAGGAUUAGAUACCCUGGUAGUCCACGCCGUAAACGAUGUCCACUAGCUGUGUGGUGCCUUUGACGCUUGGGUGGCGAAGCUAACGCAUUAAGUAUCCCGCCUGGGGAGUACGGCCGCAAGGUUAAAACUCAAAGGAAUUGACGG
rnacentral:rRNA from 1 species